rnacentral:rRNA from 1 species
UACGUAGGGAGCAAGCGUUGUCCGGAAUCAUUGGGCGUAAAGCGCGCGUAGGCGGCUCGAUCAGUCUGCUGUGAAAGUCAAAGGCUCAACCUUUGAAAGCCGGUGGAUACUGUCGAGCUAGAGUCCGGAAGAGGCGAGUGGAAUUCCUGGUGUAGCGGUGGAAUGCGCAGAUAUCAGGAGGAACACCAGCGGCGAAGGCGGCGCUCUGGGCCGGUACUGACACUGAGGAGCGAAAGCGUGGGUAGCAAACAGG